GUUAAGUGCCCCGGUUCUUCAUAAUCAUAUACCCCUACUCUGUUCUCAAAGGUGGAAGGACCAUUCUGCCAUCUCUCUGCCAUGUGCAACACUCCUCUGUCCUCUCCCCAGUCUGGCCCAGUAUUUCACUUGGUCUGUAGCUAAAACUCUUCAGGAGAAAGCUAUUCUCUGUGAAUUGCUGUUCGUGUGCCAUCAGCCGUUCGGUCACCAGGGCAAAGCAAUGGAAUAUUAUUCAGCUAUGAAAAGGAAUAAAGUACUAAGGCAUCCUGCAACGUAAAUGAACUUCAAAAUGGUCAGCGUAUCUUGGAUUUGGCGUGACUCCUUCCAUCCUUGUCUUUAUGCAUUUAUCAUAUAUACCUAGUGUCGAGGGGGGAAAGAAUCCGCCUGACAAUGCAGACCCAGCAGAGGAAAUAAUCACCAUCAACAACAAAUCGUCAGGGGUGCUGACAAUUCAUUCACCUUAAAGGAAUCACUGAACCUCCAGGCGGAAAAAGAUCUUAAGGUUCAUCCAGUCCAACCCCCUACGUGUUGCUUGGACUGCCUGCUAAGCCUGGAAAAGGAAACAUGCUGCUCACUCUCCUUGAAAGAAACGGUACCACCGCAGCCAGAGAACUGGCUCUGCUCAGAGCAGGUCAAGCCAAGGAGAGCCAAACCUGAACUUCAUCCCAAGUCGGAC
ensembl:lncRNA